CUUCACGCCCGCGUGGAAGGAAUGAGGCAUUUCCGGUGUGUAAUUCUUAUCAGAGAAGAAAAUGACGUAUUCUGAUGAUAGGCUCGGCUAACUCGUGCAGCAGCGCGUAAUACGGAGGGAGCAAGCGUUAUCGGAAUCACUGGGCGUAAAGGACGCGUAGGCGGGUUAUUAAGUCAGAUGUGAAAUCCUAUGGCUCAACCAUAGAACUGCAUUUGAAACUGGUAACCUAGAGUAUGGAAGGGGAAAAUGGAAUUAGUGGUGUAGGGGUAAAAUCCGUAGAUAUCACUAGGAAUACCGAAAGCGAAGGCGAUUUUCUGGGACAUACUGACGCUGAGGCGUGAAAGCGUGGGGAGCAAACAGGAUUAGAUACCCUGGUAGUCCACGCCCUAAACGAUGAAUGCUAGUCGUCGGAGAGCUCGUCUCUUCGGUGAUGCACUUAACAGAUUAAGCAUUCCGCCUGGGGAGUACGGUCGCAAGAUUAAAACUCAAAGGAAUAGACGGGGACCCGCACAAGUGGUGGAGCAUGUGGUUUAAUUCGAAGAUACGCGAAGAACCUUACCUGGCCUUGACAUUGAUUGAAUCACUCAGAGAUGAGAGAGUGCCCUUCGGGGAACAUGAAAACAGGUGCUGCACGGCUGUCGUCAGCUCGUGUCGUGAGAUGUUGGGUUAAGUCCCGCAACGAGCGCAACCCUCGUGUUUAGUUGCUAACAGUUCGGCUGAGCACUCUAGACAGACUGCCUCCGCAAGGAGGAGGAAGGUGGGGACGACGUCAAGUCAUCAUGGUCCUUACGGCCAGGGCGACACACGUGCUACAAUGGUUAGGACAAUGAGACGCAAUACCGCGAGGUGGAGCAAAUCUAUAAACCUAAUCUCAGUUCGGAUAGUAGUCUGCAACUCGACUACUUGAAGCUGGAAUCACUAGUAAUCGUAGAUCAGCUAUGCUACGGUGAAUACGUUCCCGGGUCUUGUACUCACCGCCCGUCACACCAUGGGAGUUGAUUUCACCCGAAGCGGGGAAGCUAAACUGGCUACCCUCCACGGUGGAAUUAGCGACUGGGGUGAAGUCGUAACAAGGUAAC
rnacentral:rRNA from 1 species